rnacentral:lncRNA from 1 species
UUACACCCUGAUAGCUGGUGGUGCUGUGCCAAUGGCCUCGGCUCCCAGAGGGGAGAUAGCCGGGCUCUUUUUGGGGUAUGGCUGCUGCUGUGGGAUCAUCUGGCAGCUUAGCCGUGCUGUAAUGCAGGGGACUUCUCAGAGGUAGGCACCUGCCAGCUCUAUUUCUAGCCCCCAGUGCUGGUGAUCAUCUCUGGCCUAAGCAUAUUGCCUGUAAAUGAAAAUGUAAUACUAGCGAGUAGGGAGAAAAUCCAGCAAAAUCAAGAACAAGAGAGAAGGAGAAAAUUUAAGCAACUGGAAAUAAGCUGCUGAUCCACGGAGGGCUAAGCUGCCAUGUCUUGGUAUUCUCUUGAGACUGUGCUUGUGCGUGUGGAGUUCCCAUCUAGCAAACCAGAGUCCAAAUCUCAGCGCUUGGAGAACUGCAAAGAUCCUCCAGAAAUAGGAAAUACUUCUAAUUGGGGUUUCUCCAUGGUUUGUAGCCUGUGGUUGUGUGGCAAAAGCUUCCUGAAACUGCGACCUUCCCCUUCUGAUCAAAACCUGUCUUGGUGAGGUAGGAGAGAUGGGACUGGGGGCAGUGGAAACACCCGAUGCUUGCUGAGAUCCUGGGCUCCUGGGUGCAGUCACUGGCUUCCUGGGGAGCUUUUCCAGGGGUGGCUGGAGGCUGAAGCCCAGAGAUUGUCGCAGAUGCUCGCACACUUACUCGUACCCUUGGUUGUGUCUGUAUGGGUUAACCUGCAGAGCUCAAACCCCGUGUGCAGGUAGCAGGACGACGGCCGAGGCAAAGUUUUUGCCCUGUGAGAUGGGGAAGGGCCCAAAGGGAAACCCUGACCCUUCGUGAGGCUGCCAGGUGCUGCUUGGGCGGUGCUGGGGCUCGCCACGGACUUCAUUAGCCGAAGGGAAAAACGUCUUCAUCCCUGGCAGCGCUCUCGGGGGAGUCGGGUUAAUAGGAGCCAGAUCACAGGCAGCGCCGAGACUUUGUCAACUCGGGGGAAACAAACCGCGAUUUGAUUGUUCCCUCUAUGAGGAGAUCAGGGCGGAGAUAGGGUCCAGCUGUCCAG